GACGAACGCUGGCGGCGUGCUUAACACAUGCAAGUCGAACGGAAAGGCCCUGCUUUUGUGGGGUGCUCGAGUGGCGAACGGGUGAGUAACACGUGAGUAACCUGCCCUUGACUUUGGGAUAACUUCAGGAAACUGGGGCUAAUACCUGCUAGGAGCUCCUGCUGCAUGGUGGGGGUUGGAAAGUUUCGGCGGUUGGGGAUGGACUCGGGGCUUAUCAGCUUGUUGGUGGGGUAGUGGCUUACCAAGGCUUUGACGGGUAGCCGGCCUGAGAGGGUGACCGGCGACAUUGGGACUGAGAUACGGCCCAGACGCCUACGGGAGGCAGCAGGGGGGAAUAUGGCACAAUGGGCGGAAGCCUGAUGCAGCAACGCCGCGUGCGGGAUGACGGCCUUCGGGUUGUAAACCGCUUUAGCCUGUGACGAAGCGUGAGUGACGGUAAUGGGUAAAGAAGCACCGGCUAACUACGUG
rnacentral:rRNA from 1 species